AUACGGAGGGUGCAAGCGUUAAUCGGAAUUACUGGGCGUAAAGGACGCGUAGGCGGUCUAUCAAGUCAGUUGUGAAAUCCCACGGCUCAACCGUGGAGGUGCAUCUGAAACUGAUAGACUUGAGUAUGGGAGAGGAAAGUGGAAUUCCCGGUGUAGAGGUGAAAUUCGUAGAUAUCGGGAGGAACACCAGUGGCGAAGGCGACUUUCUGGACCAAUACUGACGCUGAGGCGCGAAAGCGUGGGGAGCAAACAGGAUUAGAUACCCCGGUAGUCC
rnacentral:rRNA from 1 species